rnacentral:snoRNA from 1 species
ACCUGGCACUCUGAUGAUCCAAAAAAUGCAUAGUUCAACUGAGGUCAAUGACCACUGAACGAAAAACCAUUACCAUCGUCUUUCGCUCCUAUCUGAUGCUAUUG